UAUACGUGUCGGGGGGCGGAGCUUCCAGACGGCCCUAGCAGCAUGGCCGCCGGCGCCGCCGCCGCUUUAGCGUUCCUGAGUCAGGAGAGCCGAGUCCGGGCCGGGGGGGUCGGGGGUCUGCGGGUCCCGGCUCCGGUCACUAUGGACAGUUUUUUCUUCGGCUGUGAGCUCUCUGGCCACACCCGCUCUUUCACCUUCAAGGUAGAGGAAGAGGAUGAAUCGGAGCAUGUGCUGGCGUUGACCAUGCUCUGCCUCACCGAGGGGGCCAAAGAUGAGUGUAAUGUGGUAGAAGUCGUGGCCAGGAAUCAUGACCAUCAGGAGAUUGCAGUCCCUGUGGCCAAUCUCAAGUUGUCCUGCCAACCCAUGCUCAGUUUGGAUGACUUCCAGCUCCAGCCACCUGUAACCUUCCGCCUGAAGUCAGGUUCUGGCCCCGUGCGCAUCACUGGGAGGCACCAGAUUGUUACUAUAAGCAAUGACGUUUCUGAGGAAGAAGAGAGUGAAGAAGGGAGUGAGGAGGAGGAAGCUGAGUUGUGCCCCAUCCUACCUGCCAAGAAGCAGAGGGGCAGGCCCUAGCCUUGGUCAGCUAGCUGCCUGCUACGUGUGCCAUGCACUAUGUUCCUGUACAAGUUUCAAGAAAUUUAAAUGUGUCUUCUCCGUUGAAGAGGAGGGAUGGAUGGGAGUGGGAGGAACUCUGAACUUCACUCCUGACCCUCUCUCCCCACUUGCCUGUGAGAUUGGAGGUCAGCAUCUGAAGCUCAGGACUACACAUUUUUAAUACUUUUUACAUUUUUGGAUAAAGGCUGUAAUAAAGUGAUGUGGAGGUUUUUUUGCAA